rnacentral:rRNA from 1 species
UAAUACAGAGGUCUCAAGCGUUGUUCGGAUUCAUUGGGCGUAAAGGGUGCGUAGGUGGCGCGCUAAGUCGGGUGUGAAAUUUCGGAGCUUAACUCCGAAACUGCAUUCGAUACUGGCGUGCUCGAGGACUGGAGAGGAGACUGGAAUUCAUGGUGUAGCAGUGAAAUGCGUAGAGAUCAUGAGGAAGACCAGUGGCGAAGGCGGGUCUCUGGACAGUUCCUGACACUGAGGCACGAAGGCCAGGGGAGCAAACGGGAUUAGAUACCCCGGUAGUCCUGGCAGUAAACGGUGCACGUUUGGUGUGGAAGGAUUCGACCCCUUCUGCGCCGGAGCUAACGCGUUAAACGUGCCGCCUGGGGAGUACGGUCGCAAGAUU